CAAUAGCGUAUAUUAAAGUUGUUGCAGUUAAAAAGCUCGUAGUUGGAUUUCUGGUAGGAGUGACCGUUCCGAACUUGAUUGUUCGUGUAUUGUGUUUUCUCCAGCCAUCCUUGUGGAGAACUUUUCUUGCAUUAAUUUGUAGGGAUUGGGACCCGCAUCGUUUACUGUGAAAAAAUUAGAGUGUUUAAAGCAGGCAAUCGCUUGAAUACAUUAGCAUGGAAUAAUAAGAUAGGACUUUGGUACUAUUUUGUUGGUUUGCAUACCAAAUUAAUGAUCAACAGGAACAGUUUGAGGAUAUUCGUAUGAACAUGUCAGAGGUGAAAUUCUUGGAUUUUGAUCAGACGAACUACUGCGAANGNAUUUAUNAAGGAUGUUUNCAUUA
rnacentral:rRNA from 1 species